GGGGUUGUUGUUAAUGUAGGGAUUUUUAAAAUCUGUACUACAACACAAUGUUUAUCCACAAAUCAUUGAAUUAAGAAACAAUAGAAUCACACAAAAACAAGAUGAAAGUGGUGAAAAGUGUUUAUUGUCCUGCAAGCUAUGUACAUAUCAGCAUGCAUGCAUAAAAAAUAAUAUAUAUUAAAAUUAUAUCAAAUUAUUUUUGACUGAUUUUUUUUUACUAGCUUCUUUUCACAUGUGUUUGUUUUUUUGGAUUCCUAUAUUUAAUAACUAUUAAAGGAUGAAUGAAUCAGUGUGAGAGGGUAGUAUAUGUACAUGUAUGUAUGUGACAAAAACCGAAUAACAAAUAUAAAAAAAAUAAUGAUAUAUAUUUAUUCAUGUAAUUAUGCAACUAUAAGAACCAUUAUGUGGGUGGGGGUAGGGUGUGUGUUACAGGUUGAUGUAUAUCAUUAAUUUCUCUAAAUUUAAGCUGAAUGGAUUAUAAAAUUCAGAUGGUUUAACGUGACACAAAAUCUGAUGAUUUAUUUGCAUGCACACAGGUACUAAAGUGUAUUAGUGUGACAUACAUGUAUAUACCAAUUACCAAAGCUUGAUAAUGAAUACAACGCCCAUUUCAUUACAGAUUUGGAAAAUAAUUAUAGUCAAAUCACCCCUACUGCAAGCCAAUUAUCAGACUGUAUCAAUCUCAGCUGAGUCCAAGAUAGGAAGAGGCUUUGGAGAGAACACAGAAUUACUACAGACAAAAGACUUGUGAAGUUAUAAGGGGAAUUGCAGAACUCAUAGCUCCACUUCAAUCUAGAUAUGUUGACAGUUAUUUCACAGAAACACUUUGCAGCUGAAAAAGAUAAUCAAAUGAUGACCACUACUUUAACUCUAUGGUUGCAGCAUAUUUCAAUUUUUGAAGUGACAAAUUUUAUUCCUGUUUGUGAACCAAUAUUCAAAAGAAACACUGCUAUGGCAUUAGACAUAAAUUAGAAGAGAGUGGUGGGGUGGCAAAAUAAGAUUCCAUACUGUGAAAUGUAUCAAUUGUUAAUAUACAUGUAUCAAUAUAAAUUCAGUGCCAAUUUUCAUAAUUUCUAGGGGAAAAGUUUGUUUGUAACAAAUGUCAGAAAUAUGUACUAGCUCUUACUUUGCAAACCAUGCUACUAAGUACCAGGCAUUAAGACAUGAUUUGUUUAUUGUCAUUUGUUAAACAGAGACAGAUCCAGUGAUUUGAAAGGGGGGGGGGGGGGGGUCCAGAAAAAUGAUCUAAAAUCUGCAUUAGGUCAUAUCCAUGAAUUGAUAAAGUAAAUAUGUUUAUUAUUGAUUGCUAGUUACAUGUAACCUUUUAUGCAUCAGUUGAAGAUACUUUAUGAACAUUUUCUGUCACUGGGUAAAAUUCAACAAACAUUUUGUGUAUCUGGAAGUGGUCAAUAUAUAUUUCAACAUCAGAGUAAACAUGCAUUAAAGCAAGUCUGCCAAUCUGAUGUAAGCAGAAAAUGGAAUAUGGCAUGUUAUUUCAUGAAUGAAAUGCUUUACAAGAGAGUCAAAAAAUUUCUGGUUAAUGCUAUUAAAUAACUAUCUAGAUGUCCCAGAGAAAAGGAGAGGGUGUUUUCUACCCCUCCCCCCAACCCCCUCGGGAUCUGCCAAUGUCAAGUUUGUAAUGUGAGUGAAUGAUUUUAGAUUCUUCAUGAUAGGCAAUUUAUUAAAAUUUGAUUUACUGAUAAUUUUAACUUCAUAUAUGUGUGUUAAUUAAUGGACUAUUAUCUCAAAUCCUGUGUCAGAAAUGACCUCUAAAAAUCAACAUUGUAAAAUUUUAUACAAUGAAUUACAUAGGCAUUUUUUUUUUGCCUUUAUUAUAUAGAAUGUAUACAAAGACAUGAAAUUUAUUUCUGAAUGUUCAUAUGUUCUAGUAAUUUUUCAUGAAUUUUAAUCAUUUAAUCAUUGAUUUGUUAUAUCUACUUCAUAUUUAUUUCUAUUUAUGUAGUUCAACAAUCUUCAUUUAAGUAGUUGACCUUUUUGCACUUAUUGAAAAUUUUGAGAUUUCAGUUCAACUUUUCACCAUCAAACCUUGCUUUUCCCACUGAAUUUAUUUUUGUAACUUGAAAUACACCUCUUCAAGUUUCUGGUUAUACAUAAUUUAUUUCUUUUGAGACAUUGUAUUGGGUUUUGUGAGAUCUUAUAUUUUGAUCAUUAUUUUGUAAAAUAUAUUGGUGUGAAAUAUGUGCAAUUUUAACAAUUAAUAAAUUCAUUCAUUGGAUGAAUAUACACACAAAAACCCUCUUAGUUAUUGCAUAUAGUGUAUAUCUAACAUAUAAAAUAUUGCUUUUCUCUAUUUUUUAGUUAUAUGACAUUUUAGAGCUGUUCAAACAUAGCACUUUUUUCCAAUAUUUCGUGACCUUUUUGCACCGAAAAUUAUCUCAAAGUUGUUUUUCCAUGUCGAACCCAAACAUGAUAGAAACUUUUUAUUUGGCAAAUUUCAUAUUGGGGUCAGUAGGAACCUGUGCACAAAGUUUCAUGAAAAUCUGAGAGAUAGCAUGUGCCGACCUCUGCCUGAUAUCAUAAUGGACACCCUCUUAAGACGACCUAGAAUUAUCCGUGAUAUAUUAGAUCAUUUUCUUUUUUAUGAUGAGGAGGGUUUUCGUGUGGGAUUUCGUUUUUGUAAACGCGAUACUCUCCGUAUAAUGGACAUGCUUGGAAAUCGUCUGGAACCAAAUCAGAGAAAACUAAUGUCCUCAGCUUUUGAUAACCUUAAGAUGUUUUGCUACAGGAGCAUUUCAGCAAGUGGAUGGAGGGUAUAUUAACUAUCAAUUUGUUGAGGAAUGAUCUCGCUAACUGCGGAGGAGAGCUUGUCAAUUGUCCUUUCUAAAACACCGCCACCAGUUUUUGAUCUCUCUCGAUCUCUCUCUCUUUGUUCCUUCGCCACAGCAGACUUGCUUCUUGAUUUGAAGUUUUUCCAUAAUGAUUUUAGCUGAGUGGAUGUCCUGAUGUUUACACCAUUUCUACUGUUAAAUUCCUUAGCUAGGUUUUCCCAUUCCAAAUUUUUUUUGUUAAUCAUUUUGACAUCAGUAGCUUUGUUUUCAUUUAUAUCCUUUUUUGACCCAACUAAAUCAAUAAGGGUACACAUUUCUAGUUCUGUAAAAUUUGGACCAUCAUUCCCAGCCAUUGUAAUACCAAAUGAAAAAAAGCAAACAGAACAUGAGUUCAGGUAAAACCAGUUUUAUUUUAAGUGUGAAACACUGGUGAGGUUUAUGUGAGCUCAGCUCAAAUAGGAUUUAAACCCGGUUUACCUGAACUAAGCUUAGUCCAUAAAUCUAGCUUACCUAAGACACAGGUGUGAAUAUGGGCAUACGACUUUCAAAAAAUUAAAUCCUUCCUUACUUAAAGAGGUUCGCACCUGACAUUUGGAGUAAUGUCAAUUUUUUGGAAAGUGUAUUUUUGAUUUCUACAUUGAAGGAGAAUUAGGAAAUUAAAAAGAAAAACGGGUCGCAACGCUUGUUACUGAGCUAUAGUGUUCUAAACAUGACCUUUUUGCACUUAAAAUUUAUUCAAUUAAACUUGAUUUUUCUGUUAGUGUCAACACAACAUAAGCAACACAAAUCAAUCAUUACAUAAAAUAGAUACAUAAUCAUGUCCUUUAACACUACAGAUGAAAAAAGAAAUGAAUACUAGUAAAGGAAAUAAUGACCUUUUUGCACUUGAUAUACGAAAAACUUCAUGAUAUUAAAAUUGAGAGUUUAAAAGGACAUAUUAGGAGUAAUGUCAAUUUCUAGAAUUUUACAUAAUUUUCAAGGUCUGAUCUUCCAAUUUAAAAUGCAACUUAAACAAGAGGCCCAUGGGCCACAUCGCUCACCUGAGUCACCUCGGUCCAUAUCAGAAGAUUUUCCAUAUCUAUUUGCAUGUAAAACCGUAGUCCCUAUUAUGGCCCCAAACCUUCCCCUGGAGGCCAUGGUUUUUGCAAACUUGAAUCUACACUAUGUCAGAAAGCUUUCAUGUAAAUGUGAACUUCUUUCGCCCAAUGGUUCUUGAGAAGAAGAUUUUUAAAGAUUUUCCCUAUAUAUUUGUAUGUAAAACUUUGAUCCCCUAUUGUGGCCCCAUCCUACCCCAAAGGGGGGGGGGGGGGCAUGAUUUUAACAAACCUGAAUCUGCACUAUAUCAGAAAGCUUUCAUAUAAAUCUCAGCUUUUCUGGCUAAGUGGUUCUGGGAAGAAGAUUUUUAAAGAUUUUUCCUAUAUAUUUGUAUGUAAAACUUUGACCCCCUAUUGUGGCCCCAUCCGACCCCCGGGGGCCAUGAUCUUAACAAUUUAUAAUCUGCACUAUAUCAGGAAGCUUUCAUAUAAACCUCAGCUUUUCUGGCUCAGUGGUUUUUGAGAAGAAGAUUUUAAAAUAUUUUUCCUAUAAAUUUGUAUGUAAAACUUUGAUGCCCCCCUUGAGGCCCCAUCCAAUCCCCGGGGUCCAUGAUUUUAACAAACUUGAAUCUGCACUAUAUCAACAAAACAAAACAAAAAAACGAAAAAAAAGAAGAACAAAAAAAAAACAAAAAAAAAAACUUUGACCCCCUAUUGUGGCCCCAUCCGACCCCCGGGGGCCAUGAGUUUAACAAUUUAGAAUCUGUACUAUAUCA